GAUGAACGCUGGCGGCGUGCCUAAUACAUGCCAGUCGAGCGAACAGACGAGGAGCUUGCUCCUCUGACGUUAGCGGCGGACGGGUGAGUAACACGUCGAUAACCUACCUAUAAGACUGGGAUAACUUCGGGAAACCGGAGCUAAUACCGGAUAAUAUAUUGAACCGCAUGGUUCAAUAGUGAAAGACGGUUUUGCUGUCACUUAUAGAUGGAUCCGCGCCGCAUUAGCUAGUUGGUAAGGUAACGGCUUACCAAGGCAACGAUGCGUAGCCGACCUGAGAGGGUGAUCGGCCACACUGGAACUGAGACACGGUCCAGACUCCUACGGGAGGCAGCAGUAGGGAAUCUUCCGCAAUGGGCGAAAGCCUGACGGAGCAACGCCGCGUGAGUGAUGAAGGUCUUCGGAUCGUAAAACUCUGUUAUUAGGGAAGAACAAAUGUGUAAGUAACUAUGCACGUCUUGACGGUACCUAAUCAGAAAGCCACGGCUAACUACGUG
rnacentral:rRNA from 1 species